rnacentral:rRNA from 2 species
GGUGCUAACGUCCGUCGUGAAGAGGGAAACAACCCAGACCGCCAGCUAAGGUCCCAAAGUCAUGGUUAAGUGGGAAACGAUGUGGGAAGGCCCAGACAGCCAGGAUGUUGGCUUAGAAGCAGCCAUCAUUUAAAGAAAGCGUAAUAGCUCACUGGUCGAGUCGGCCUGCGCGGAAGAUGUAACGGGGCUAAACCAUGCACCGAAGCUGCGGCAGCGACACUGUGUGUUGUUGGGUAGGGGAGCGUUCUGUAAGCCUGUGAAGGUGUGUCGUGAGGCAUGCUGGAGGUAUCAGAAGUGCGAAUGCUGACAUAAGUAACGAUAAAGCGGGUGAAAAGCCCGCUCGCCGGAAGACCAAGGGUUCCUGUCCAACGUUAAUCGGGGCAGGGUGAGUCGACCCCUAAGGCGAGGCCGAAAGGCGUAGUCGAUGGGAAACGGGUUAAUAUUCCCGUACUUGGUGUUACUGCGAAGGGGGGACGGAGAAGGCUAUGUUGGCCGGGCGACGGUUGUCCCGGUUUAAGCGUGUAGGUGUGUGUUCCAGGUAAAUCCGGUUCACUUUAACACUGAGGCGUGACGACGAGGCACUACGGUGCUGAAGCAACAAAUGCCCUGCUUCCAGGAAAA